UUGCUGGUUAGAUGUAGAAUCCAAUGGGUCAUACACAAAGAAAAUUGAUCAGGGGUCUAAUGGAUUAGAUUAUAUUUGCAAAAUUGAUAUGCUAGUACAUGUUGCAAAAACUAGCUCUCUAUUUCAAAUUGGGUUUGAAAUUGAUUCCAGAUUGGGUAAUUAAGGCCAAAUUAAUUCAAACCAAUUUUAGGUUUGAGUUGGGGAGUCAGAAAACCAAAUCUCUGUGAGUCAAAAAAAAAUUUUGUGCGUGGG
rnacentral:lncRNA from 1 species